AUUGCAGGAAAAACAUGAGCAUCCCUCUGCUUAUUAACUAAGGUCAAUAUUUGAUGGUCCCUGACCCUCACAGAGGCAACUCAUCUUAGUUAUGUUCUUCUUACCUGAAAAACAAACAGCACAAAUACAUUACAUGGCUUGCUCACGCCGAAAUGCUGCCAGCUUCACAGGAUGUGGAUACAGAGAAGAUAUAUUGCAUGGUCUUAUCAAGAAGAAACACUGCAUUGACAAAGAAUCAAUACUCAGCAAUGCAACUAUUAUCUCUUGCCAUAAACUAGAAGUCUAUCCAGAGAAACAAAGUGCUGUGCUGUUUGUUCCUGUGGACUUGGAAGAUACCAACUGUCAAAAGUGUGAGGCAUCAUGCGCAUGUAGACUAAAUCAGUGCUGGGAGGACUGCAGAGGUGUGUGAAGCUUCCACUACAGGCAGCUCUUGCACGUGCUCCUGUUUUAAUUUGGAGAAUUGCAUUGGAUUUAGAAAAGCAAGGCAAAGGAAAACCCCUCAAUGUUUAUUACAGGUUUCAUAACAAACAACAGCAAUAAUAAUGAAAUGCUGGAUUUCCUUGACCUGAGCAAAGGGCAGGAAGAUGGAAGAGCAAUUGCUAGAAAGGUAUUUUCAAGAACCCUGUGCCCUUUGUUUUGUUUCUCCGGUGCUGUUUGACAAUCUGUGAUGAAGGAGCUACCUGUUCAAGCUGGAAGCAUGUUCCCAGCCUGUUAUAUUGGUGAUAAAUCAUAACUGCUUCCUAAGUUGCUAUGGGCACUCUUGCUAAGAAACUUGAAGUAAUCUUUGCAAUACUUCAAGCUUUCAGACUUUAACAAAUGAUCGUUUGAGUGAAUAUGAGAGCACUGCACCUCUUUGUUAGGGGAUUAAGAAAACAAAAGUAAUCCAAAUAAACCUUGGGGAGGAGAAGGGGGAAGCCA
rnacentral:lncRNA from 14 species